GACGAACGCUGGCGGCGUGCUUAACACAUGCAAGUCGAACGGUGACGAAGAGCUUGCUCUUCUGAUCAGUGGCGAACGGGUGAGUAACACGUGAGCAACCUACCCUUGACACUGGGAUAACAGUUGGAAACAGCUGCUAAUACCGGAUAUGAACCUCACAGGCAUCUGAGAGGUUGGAAAGCUCCGACGGUCGAGGAUGGGCUCGCGGCCUAUCAGCUUGUUGGUGAGGUAACGGCUCACCAAGGCGACGACGGGUAGCCGGCCUGAGAGGGCGACCGGCCACACUGGGACUGAGAUACGGCCCAGACUCCUACGGGAGGCAGCAGUGGGGAAUAUUGCGCAAUGGGCGAAAGCCUGACGCAGCAACGCCGCGUGCGGGAUGACGGCCUUCGGGUUGUAAACCGCUUUCAGCAGGGACGAAACUGACGGUACCUGCAGAAGAAGCACCGGCUAACUACGUGCCAGCAGCCGCCGUAAUAC
rnacentral:rRNA from 1 species